GUACACUCCUGCGGGAGGCAGCAGUGGGGAAUAUUGGACAAUGGGCGCAAGCCUGAUCCAGCCAUGCCGCGUGAGUGAUGAAGGCCCUAGGGUUGUAAAGCUCUUUCACCGGUGAAGAUAAUGACGGUAACCGGAGAAGAAGCCCCGGCUAACUUCGUGCCAGCAGCCGCGGUAAUACGAAGGGGGCUAGCGUUGUUCGGAUUUACUGGGCGUAAAGCGCACGUAGGCGGACUAUUAAGUCAGGGGUGAAAUCCCGGGGCUCAAUCCCGGAACUGCCUUUGAUACUGGUAGUCUUGAGUUCGAGAGAGGUGAGUGGAAUUCCGAGUGUAGAGGUGAAAUUCGUAGAUAUUCGGAGGAACACCAGUGGCGAAGGCGGCUCACUGGCUCGAUACUGACGCUGAGGUGCGAAAGCGUGGGGAGCAAACAGGAUUAGAAACCCUAGUAGUCCCAUGA
rnacentral:rRNA from 1 species